UACGGAGGGUGCGAGCGUUGUCCGGAAUCACUGGGCGUAAAGGGCGCGUAGGCGGUUUGUCGCGUCUGCCGUGAAAGUCCGGGGCUCAACUCCGGAUCUGCGGUGGGUACGGGCAGACUAGAGUGAUGUAGGGGAGACUGGAAUUCCUGGUGUAGCGGUGGAAUGCGCAGAUAUCAGGAGGAACACCGGUGGCGAAGGCGGGUCUCUGGGCCGUUACUGACGCUGAGGAGCGAAAGCGUGGGGAGCGAACAGG
rnacentral:rRNA from 1 species